CGGUCCAGCCUGUCUCCGCGUGGUGGGAGCGCUGCACUAGCCCCUGGCUGGUGGUUACUGUCGGAACAGCGUGGUGUGGUCGCUGUCUCUCUGGGCGUGCAGCUCCGCAGCCCUGCCGGCUCGGUUCGAUUGACUUACGCAGGAUUCUCUGCCCUUGCCUGGGAGAACAGUUCAGGAGACAGAUGGCCCCAAGAGCCCAGAUCCAGGCAAGUUUGAUUUUUCCAUUUCUUGAGAAACCACGUGUUUCAGCGAGGUGGGGUUUAUGCCUCUUGCCCGGACAAUGCCCUGCCCUGUGUGUGGACCAAGCUACCCGAACCGAUCCUGGAUGGGUCCCGCGAUUUCCGUCGUCUCUACCCAUUACGUAGUCAUUCACCAAGUGGAUUAUUGCUACCCAUGUUUUCUAGAGUGCUAGAAACAGAAAAGUGCUUUGCAGACUGGCAGACGAUGAAAAAAAUACACGUUAGCAUAUAAAGACGUAGGCCAUAAAGACAUAGGGUGAUAGCAGCGCUCUCUUGACCUUUAGUGUGUGGUA
rnacentral:sRNA from 1 species